GACGAACGCUGGCGGCGUGCUUAACACAUGCAAGUCGAACGGAAAGGCCCUGCUUUUGUGGGGUGCUCGAGUGGCGAACGGGUGAGUAACACGUGAGUAACCUGCCCUUGACUUUGGGAUAACUUCAGGAAACUGGGGCUAAUACCGGAUAGGAGCUCCUGCUGCAUGGUGGGGGUUGGAAAGUUUCGGCGGUUGGGGAUGGACUCGCGGCUUAUCAGCUUGUUGGUGGGGUAGUGGCUUACCAAGGCUUUGACGGGUAGCCGGCAUGGGAGGGUGACCGGGCACAAUGGGACUGAGAUACGGCCCAGACUGGUACGGGAGGCAACGGUCGGAAGUAUUACACAGUGAGCCGAAGCCUGAGACGAAGGCGCCGCGGGCGGAAUGACGGCCUUCGGGUUGAGAACAGCUUUCGCCUGAGACGAAGCGGGAGUGACGGUAAUGAGUAAAGAAGCACCGGCUAACUACGUG
rnacentral:rRNA from 1 species